rnacentral:lncRNA from 1 species
CCGCUAGGAGUCUGCUGACGGUGUAUCCUCACUGGUUGGAUCUACUGGAAGUUGGGGGGCAGGGAAGUUUGCUGACGGUGGUUGCGGUGGUGGAUCAGGGUCUGUGAAGCAUGUCGCCAAAUCGAACUCCAUAUCAUCAAUGAGCCGUUGAUUUUGUGCUCCAGCCUCUUGCAUCUUUUGAAUCUGCACUACUAUGAAGUCUGUCUGGGUGGCCUGUCUUUCUAAACCACUCAGGAACUGUUGAAGUGUACUGUUCAAAC